UAGCAAAAGCAUCUAGAAAGUUCUGACAGGACAGUAUAAAGGUCAGUGUGCCAGUGGGCAGCAGACAGUGCUGACAGGGUACGUGAAGAAGAGGGUUAAGAGCAGACAGAGUGCUGACAGCAGAAGAAGCAGAAGAGUGGAGUAGAGUUGACAGCUGUGGAGGUGGAGAAAGAUGAAGUAAUUGAGAAAGCAGACACAGCAGAAGAAGGAGUCCUAUGUCAGCAGACAGAGAUGUUCCAUGUCUUGUCUGGAACUCAGACACAAUUAUUUGAAGAUCAUUCUGUGAUUCAGUUACUUCUCAGUGUGAGAGAAAAGAUCCUUUGAAGUUAUGUCAGUUCAUCUCACAGCUCAGCACAAAACCCAGAAGCAACCAACCACAGACAGAUAUUAUUUUGUUUAUUAUGAAUGAUUGUUUGCAUAAGGAUGGGAGAAAAUUCAGUGUAACUCUUCUUCCCACCCACCCCAUAUUUUUAAAAUCUUUGAUCAUUUUAACAUUUUUAAAUUAACCCCCCAAAAAAACUUUUAUCAAUGCAAUUUCACAUCCUCCGCCCCAUAUGCAACUAUAAUCUCAUACAUGCACUUUUUGAUGUAUUAGCCUUGAACAUAGAAAUUCACUUAAGGUCCAUACAGAUUAGUUUAUAAAGACACACUUUGUCAUACUGAGUAUCUAGAUGCUGGGUGGAAUGGUGUGUUAUGGAGAUAUUUUUAUGUAUGUCAAGUUAUAAAUGUAAACCAGGGUUUGACAGAGCUCUCUCCUGUCCUCUGAUUAAAGCAGGAAAAUACCUCAGGAGCAGACCAUAUUCUCAUAUAGGCACACCUGCAGAGCUGAAGACCUGGGCAUCCUUCAAUGGCAAUGCCAUGCACACCAUUCACCAGAAACUAGUAACAAUAAUGGAUUAAUUUACAAUGUAUAUGUUGUCUUAAUACUUGGAAAUAAAGUUUAAUAUUGCCUUUCUUUCCAUCAGUGAUGUAAUUAGGCCAAGAUUCUUGCAGCAGUUUGGCUUAAUUAUGUCAUUUUGCCUUUUCACAUGACUAUACCAAACUAUAAAAAGGUAAAGAUGGGAAUAAUUUGGCAUUUUGCCAAAACCAGAACUCUUUAACUCGCUAAGGCCUUUAUUUAGCAAGGUAGUAAAGCAGGUGGAUAACUGACUUUAAUGGGGCUAAGCUGGUGGGUAUAGUUAAGUAUGUACUUAAAUACAUUGCUUAAUCAGGGCCCAAGGACCUUUUUUCCAGAAAGGUGCUGAGUACCUUCUGCCCCAUGAGAAUGCUAUUUGGAGUUCAGGGUGUUCAGUACUUGGCUGUUUCCCAAAAGCUGCAAGAAAAUUAAAUCAGCUCCCACACACACGUUCAAACUGUUUAGAUAUUAUUCAGAAAAAUGGUAAAAAAUAA